AGCUUUUCAGAGUGGCAGUAUCAUAGUCAAUGAAGAUUUUCUGAGGCAUAAUUAUUGCUAAUUGGACAUAGAAACCACCUUCACUCUUAUAUAUAAAAAUUAUUAUGUGCUACACUAGAUAUUUGAGGAGAAUUGAUAAAAGAAAGACUGUUGU
rnacentral:snRNA from 1 species